rnacentral:rRNA from 1 species
GAUGAACGCUAGCUACAGGCUUAACACAUGCAAGUCGUGGGGCAGCGGGUACUUAGCUUGCUAAGUAUGCCGGCGACCGGCGCACGGGUGAGUAACGCGUACCGAACCUGCCCAUCACACAGGGAUAGGCUUGCGAAAGCAAGAUUAAUACCUGAUGGUCUCAGUUGUAUGCAUGUAUGAUUGAGUAAAGCCUUCGGGCGGUGAUGGAUGGCGGUGCGUCCCAUUAGGAAGUUGGCGGGGUAACGGCCCACCAAUCCUUCGAUGGGUAGGGGUUCUGAGAGGAAGGUCCCCCACAUUGGAACUGAGAUACGGUCCAAACUCCUACGGGAGGCAGCAGUGAGGAAUAUUGGUCAAUGGGCGAGAGCCUGAACCAGCCAAGUAGCGUGCGGGAUGAAGGCCCUUGUGGUCGUAAACCGCUUUUAUCAGUGAAUAAAGUGCACCACGUGUGGUGUCAUUGGCAGGUAGCUGAAGAAAAAGGACCGGCUAAU